rnacentral:lncRNA from 1 species
UAUAAUAUUUUACCUGACAUAGAGUUUUGAGGUUAUAAUAUAUUCUUUAAGAUAUAGAUAUGAAUAUGUAUACUGAUGAGUGAUGUUAGUAUUUUGUUUUUAAUUAAAUGAAAAUGUUUAAUAUUAAACUGAAAAAAUGUAAUUUGUUACAAUCGUAAAGCCAAUAGUUGCUUAAGAGUGAGACAUUUCGUUAACAAAAACCACACUAGAUACAAUAUGAGAAUAUAGAUGUUGUGCAUGUUGUGUUCAUGAGAGUUUAAGCAAUAAUAUUAAUGAUAAAAUCAAGCUAUCAUAAAACGUCUGAAUGAAUAGUGUUUGGCAAUGUAUCUUACAUUUUCGAUAUGAUAUAAAUAUAUCUACUGCAUAAGAUCAUGCAUUCAAUGCGCCUUUCUUUUUAGUCAGGAACAUUCAAAUCCACUCAUUUGACGUCUAAGGAUUUAUAAGACCAAAACAUAUCAUAAUUCUUAAUUAAUCACCAAAUAAUUAUCGAG